GACGAACGCUGGCGGCGGUGCUUAACACAUGCAAGUUGAACGGGCAUACAUGGAAGCUUGCUGAAGUGUAUGUUAGUAGCGGACGGGUGAGUAAUGCAUGAGGACCUGCCUGCCGGAGGGGGACAACAGUUGGAAACGGCUGCUAAUACCCCGUACGCCGAGAGGUGAAAGGAAUGGAGACAUUCCGCCGGGAGAGGGACUCAUGUCCUAUCAGCUGGUUGGUGAGGUAACGGCUCACCAAGGCGACGACGGGUAGCCGGCCUGAGAGGGCGACCGGCCACGACUGGAACUGAGAGACGGUCCAGACUCCUACGGGAGGCAGCAGUGGGGAAUAUUGGGCAAUGGGGGCAACCCGUGACCCAGCGACGCCGCGUGAGGGAAGAAGGCCUUCGGGUCGUAAACUUCUUUUGUACGUGAAGAAGCAGAUGACGGUAGCGUUACGAAUAAGUCCGGCUAACUACGUGCCAGCAGCCGCGGUAAGAGUAGCGUG
rnacentral:rRNA from 1 species